CGGCGGUUGUGCCAGUCCGGGCGCUGCACCCCCUUCCCGGAACUCUAAUCGUAUCCCCAAAUAGAGGGAUGGGAACACAUUUGCUUUCGCAGUAAAAUGAAACGGACAGAUUGUGAAGAAGCGGACAAACCUCGCGUUAAUAUUCGAACCAGCCUAGUGCUCGGCGCUUCUGAGAGGAAUAGGCUCACAGAAUAGCGGCGCUGCCGAGACCCCUGGGGUACGCGAGGCAGGGGGAUUCCGCCCCUUUGGAAGGUGGCCGAGACCCUCAGCCACUAAAGGACUUCGUCGAGACAGGAGAGCCCGCAGAGAUCGUUCUCUUUUGGAUAACCAGAUUAUUCCACAAUGAAACUUUAACCCUUUUGGGGGCGCUGUUCCCUUUAACAAACUCUGGAAAAUGUACACAAUCUUGUGCACAACACGAGAGUUAUGGACCUGGGUUGAGAAACGCUGGUUUCUUUUGUUCCCCCUUGGUGACAUCACUUAAACCCAGCUCUCUCUUCGCUGAUACUUUUCUGCGCAUGAGGCUAGGUUGAGAGACAGUGAAGCUAGGCUGGGUACCAGCUCAUUCUCAUCAGCCACAAUGCCCGGCCUAGUCUUGUUCCCUGGUUUGUUUCCACUUUUCCAAAUCUCUCGGCUCCUGACCUUGGCUUUGUGUCCAGUUUUCCACUGUGACCCUGACCUUUGGACUUGGCAGCGAAACUUUAUUUCCCUAACUUUGAUCUUGGGCAUUAGUCUUCAUUCUCCUCAGCCCCACCUCAUCAGAAUUUCCCCAUCCUGGUCAUCUACCUUCCCGCAGUUCAUCCCACCCAGUCUACCUGACCAUGCCAUCCCUUUCGACAAAGAUAUUCACACAGGAACAGAUUUGGGCUACCUUGGAAAAGAAGCCAAAGAGCCAGUCAGAUCUUUAUGAAGCCAUGAAAGCCAUCUUCCCUAGAGUUGCCUGUCACUUCUCUCUCCUUAGGGAGACAUGUCAGUCAGUUCCUAGAGAAACUGCUUCUUCUCACAACCCUCAGCUCAGGUUUCCCUGGCGCCCAGAGGGGACUGAGCCAGCAGCUGACCUGAAAACAGCGAGUCUGCUGACUGUCCAGCGAUCAUUUCCCUCUAUUGAGAAUUUUAACCAAGUGUCUGUUGUCUGUAGUCAUUUGAUAUUGGCUGUGGACCCACAAAGUCACACAAGGCUAAAGGUCAGAACCAGUUAAAUAUGUUUCCAAGGUGAAGCUUUGGGGAGCACAGGAAGCCGAACUGUGGGAAGGCCAUAGAACAGACAGAUCUAGAGGACUAGGAGAGUGCUCCACAUUAAAGUGAUGUGGACAGAAACCUGCCUGGGGCUUUCUUGCUCCCACGAGAGGCUGCUAAACUUCCAGCACUUUGCACCUAAUUCUGCUUCUUUCUAGAUUUGCCAGAACUGUUGAUUUAGUCACAGAGACAAAACAACAGCAGUUGAACAAAGUGGAUGUUUAUUUCUCAUGUAAAAGUCUAAAUGGGGUGUUGGCAUGUUGUGGGCUGUGGUAGCAAGCUUGGCCCCCUCUGGUUGCUAUGGGACCUGCUGUGGGCCUCUUGCUGGUUGGUCACUCAGUGUGGGUUUGCAUUGUGGGUGGUGAAGGGGGCCAGACAAGGAAACGAGAGAGCUGACCUCAGUUCCAACUGAGAACUGAAGAGUCAGGAGCCGCAGGAGGUGAAGAACAGAACACCAGGGACAGUUGCCAGGCCUGGCGGAGCCUGAUGUGGCUUCUGGUCACAUACAUAGUCACAGGGCCCUUAAUUCCUUCUCAUCAGGGGCUCAGGGGCAGGCAUUCACUGUCUUGGUGCCACAGUCCUUCUUGAAAUAUUUCCUUAAUGAAAAUCAGAAAAGAUUCUGAUCAUCUAUCUGUUCAGAGAGUCUGGAAUCCUUUGCAAGCCAAUUGUUUUUCUAGAAGUUAGGUUUCUGGGGACAAUUAAAACAGCUCUGAGUGGGCAGCUGUGGCUCCUUUGCCUAGGCUGAACAAAGAGGAAAGGGCUGGGCUGGGCAGGCCUCAAGACACCCCCCGCCCCCACCCAAAUUGCUUCCAGACAUGGCCUUUGCUAUUGGUUCUCUCUCCUAGGACCUUGAAAUGAGAGAAGAAAAGCAAUUUGGUUCUAGAAAAUUCAGAGGCAAAUGGAGGCUCCAGGUGUCCCACCCAAGAUCCUGACCUGGAAGGCCAGGGAGCAGAUCCUGUAUGAACACAAAGAAUUAGCAGAAUCCUGUCAGCUUCCAAAUUAGCUGAAGGUUUUGGCUUUAACAUAAAUACCCAUCAGCACCACUCCCGCAAUCCGAAAGGCCUUAAGGGGCACAUUUGUUCCCACGUGGAGCAGAAACUAAAGUGGGACCAAAUGGUCCCUGUGAAAGCUGGGCUAACCCACUUUCCUUGCAGCUCCAGGCCUCUGGGGUUUCAUCCAAGCUGCUCUUUGAAGGCCACACUGUGUCAAAGCCUUUGUUGAUGCCAGGGACACAGCCCACCACAGGCCAUGCCCAAAGGCCAGAGUCAGAGCACAAUUUUGAAGAUUACAGAAAACUCCAAAGAGAUUGAAGAGAUGGAAUAAAGGAUCCCAGCCCCCGAAAAGAGAAAGCUUUGUGUCUGUAGCCAUAGCCCUCGGCAAUCAGACAUCCUCCUCACUAAUGUGAGGUCAGGAGGGGACUAGAAGUGCUCAGAGGAUGGACUGCCUCUGGCCAGUGCAGGGGAGAGGCAGGGGUGUUGAGGCACAGGAGCCAGAUGAGAGGAACGUCAGCAGCAAAGCAGUAAGAAGAACAUGAGAGUUUCUUGAUAGUAAUAGAACUUCCUACACAGACUGGGAACCGGGUUGUAGCUUGAGGGGAUGUGACAACAUAGUGGCCCGGAAUUUUCACUUUGGAAAUUAACUGCUUUGGACCAGGAAGAAGCGCUGAGCCUAGAAAGGCAGGAGGCACAGGACUGUGUGGGCUUCUGUCUGGCAGAGACCUAUGAGCUUCAUAGGGUGAAUGAAUCGGGGCAGGAUAAAGCAGAGGCCUCCACCCUCACAGUGCUCUUAGCCAUCUCAGGCUUCCCGGAACACUGCUACCAGGCUGCCUGCUGGAGCCCUUUACACUCACAGGCCUUCCUGCUUGGGUUCUCUUCUGCAGGCUGCGUAAACCAGUCCUGUUGUAGCCCUUGUAGCAUCUGCUGUAGUGAUCUGGUUUGGGUUUCAGUAUUACUUGCAAUGGUUUGGAAGGAAAUGGGAAGUUUGCCUUCUAACUACAUUUUCUUUUUGAUUCAAGAACCCUAGCAGUUCUACAACCACUGGGCCUAAAACUAAAUUAAAGGAAAAAUAAAUAAAAGGAAGCAAAAACAUCUAACUGGUAUGGCCUGGCAGCAUUGCCAGAGAGAGUCCUCAGGGGCCCAGGCUUGUUCUGUCUUUUGCUCUGCCAUCCCUAGGGUAGACAGCACGGAAGAGGCAGUACAUCUUAACAAAAAUCAGGGUUCUGGAUGAAGGGAGGGGUGGUGAAUGGUUGCUGCAAUCAACAGUUCAUACUUCAAUGGAAAGAAGGUGGGAUUUGAUUCCUGGUUGCAAAUCUUCACUCUGUCACCUGCUAUCUGUGUGCCCUCAGUCUCCCAUCAAGGAGUGAUGUCUGUUUCUCCACUUCUUGAAUCUGGGCUGGCCUUGCCAAUAGAAUAUGGCAGAAGUGACAUCGUUCCAUUUCUGAGUCAAAGCCUGAGGAGGCCUUGCAUGCUUCUACUCUCUCUUGCAACCCUGCACUGCCACAUAUCAACAAGACUUAUCAACAAGCCUGGGAUAGCCUGCUAGAUGAUGAAAGAUACAUGGCCCGCUUGCUCCCAUCACUCCAGCUGACAGCUAGGCAACCCUAAGAAGCAAAGUCACCUAGCUGAUUAGUAGCUGACCACUCACACAAAAGUAAGAUCAUCUGAGACCAGAAGACAGCCCAUCUGAGCUCAGCCCAAAUUACUGACCCACAAAAUAAUAAUAAAUAAAUGGUUAUUAUUUUUAUGUCACUGAA